GACGAACGCUGGCGGCGUGCUUAACACAUGCAAGUCGAACGGAAAGGCUCCAGCUUGCUGGAGUACUCGAGUGGCGAACGGGUGCGUAACACGUGGGCAAUCUGCCCUGCAUUCUGGGAUAAGCCUAGGAAACUGGGUCUACUACUGGAUAUGACAUUUCUCAUUAUGGGGUUUGGUGGAACGUUUUUCGUUGUAGGAUGUGCUGGCGGCCUAUCAGCUUGUCGGUGGGGCGGUGGCGUAUCCAGGCGACGAUGAGUAGCCUGCCUGGGAGGGAGACCGGCCACAUAGGGCUUGGGGGACGGCCCAGACGCAUUCGUGAGGAAUGAGUGGAGAAUAUUUCACACUGUGCGGAAGCCGGAUGCAGCGACUCCGGGUUGGGGAUGACGUCCGUCGGGAUGUAAACGUCUUUCAGCAGGGACGAAGCGUAAGGGACGGAACCUACAGAAGAAGCACCGGCUAACUAUGU
rnacentral:rRNA from 1 species